ensembl:lincRNA Gm19705 predicted gene, 19705
CUUCUGAGUCUGACGGGCUGGUGGAGUGUGAGCGUGGCUCCUAAAUUUCUUGGGUAGGACUGAAGAAGCACUUUUAAGAUGUGGAAACUCAGAGAGGAUGCCACUGUUUUGAACUAUUUUGAAGGCACAGCCACCAGAGCUUUAGGGACAGGGUAUUUUAUCACAGCAACAGAAAUGAAACCAAAACAACUCCACAAUAAAAUUCUUGAGUUUCUUGGGGCCAAGAAGAUGACACGAUAAGAUAAAGACACUGGCCAAGCAUGACCUCCAGAGUUUGGCCCUUGCAUAAAGGAGAAAAUUAAUUCCUUCAGUUGUUCUCUGACCUCCACAUGCGUCCUGUAACAUGGGUGUAUGCAUACACAUAAACACACAUCCACACGUUGUUAAAUAAAUAAAAAAAAUAUGUUAACAGU